rnacentral:piRNA from 1 species
UGUGAGAAGCCCACCGUGGUGUCUCUGAAG